rnacentral:rRNA from 1 species
UCGUGGUGUGACUGCGUACCUUUUGUAUAAUGGGUCAGCGACUUAUAUUCAGUGGCAAGGUUAACCGUAUAGGGGAGCCGUAGCGAAAGCGAGUCUUAACUGGGCGCUCAGUCUCUGGAUAUAGACCCGAAACCGGGUGAUCUAGCCAUGGGCAGGUUGAAGGUUGAGUAACAUCAACUGGAGGACCGAACCGACUAAUGUUGAAAAAUUAGCGGAUGACUUGUGGCUAGGGGUGAAAGGCCAAUCAAACUCGGAGAUAGCUGGUUCUCCCCGAAAGCUAUUUAGGUAGCGCCUCGGACGAAUACUACUGGGGGUAGAGCACUGUUAAGGCUAGGGGGUCAUCCCGACUUACCAACCCUUUGCAAACUCCGAAUACCAGUAAGUACUAUCCGGGAGACACACGGCGGGUGCUAACGUCCGUCGUGGAGAGGGAAACAACCCAGACCGCCAGCUAAGGUCCCAAAGUAUUGCUAAGUGGGAAACGAUGUGGGAAGGCUCAGACAGCUAGGAUGUUGGCUUAGAAGCAGCCAUCAUUUAAAGAAAGCGUAAUAGCUCACUAGUCGAGUCGGCCUG